CCCCGCCAUUCUUGUAACCGUCACCUGUAAUCCGCGCGGGUGUGUCCGCACCCCCCUGAGUGGACGAGAAAGAAAGGAUUUCUCGGAGCAACCCCCCAGGUUCCAGACCCAGGAGUCAACUUUCCCGUAUGAGCAUUCGGUACAUGUAUCAGUCCGUGGGAAGAGGUGAAAGGGUCACCACUACUGAGGAUCUCCCCCCCCCCUAAUCUUAGAUAGGUCG